CUACGGGAGGCAGCAGUGGGGAAUCUUCCGCAAUGGGGGAAAGCCUGACGGAGCAACGCCGCGUGAGCGAAGAAGGCCUUCGGGUUGUAAAGCUCUGUGAUAUCAGACGAACGGCCUGGGUGUAAAAAACACCGAGGCAUGACGGUAUGGUAAGAGGAAGCCCCGGCUAACUACGUGCCAGCAGCCGCGGUAAUA
rnacentral:rRNA from 1 species